rnacentral:rRNA from 1 species
ACAUGCAAGUCGAGCGAACAGACGAGGAGCUUGCUCCUCUGAUGUUAGCGGCGGACGGGUGAGUAACACGUGGGUAACCUACCUAUAAGACUGGAAUAACUCCGGGAAACCGGGGCUAAUGCCGGAUAAUAUGCGGAACCGCAUGGUUCCGCAAUGAAAGACGGUUUUGCUGUCACUUAUAGAUGGACCCGCGCCGUAUUAGCUAGUUGGUAAGGUAACGGCUUACCAAGGCAACGAUACGUAGCCGACCUGAGAGGGUGAUCGGCCACACUGGAACUGAGACACGGUCCAGACUCCUACGGGAGGCAGCAGUAGGGAAUCUUCCGCAAUGGGCGAAAGCCUGACGGAGCAACGCCGCGUGAGUGAUGAAGGUCUUCGGAUCGUAAAACUCUGUUAUUAGGGAAGAACAAGUGCGUAGGUAACUAUGCGCACCUUGACGGUACCUAAUCAGAAAGCCACGGCUAACUACGUGCCAGCAGCCGCGGUAAUACGUAGGUGGCAAGCGUUAUCCGGAAUUAUUGGGCGUAAAGCGCGCGUAGGCGGUUUUUUAAGUCUGAUGUGAAAGCCCACGGCUCAACCGUGGAGGGUCAUUGGAAACUGGAAAACUUGAGUGCAGAAGAGGAAAGUGGAAUUCCAUGUGUAGCGGUGAAAUGCGCAGAGAUAUGGAGGAACACCAGUGGCGAAGGCGACUUUCUGGUCUGCAACUGACGCUGAUGUGC